UCUUUCCAAGACAGGAGCCACAGAUUUCCUCAUCUCUCAUCUCUUAAGUGCAGAUCAGCAUGGAAUAGUAGUUGCAUCUUAUUGUAGAGUAGCAGGCCAUCCCUUCCCAAGCAAGCUUUAUGCUGUAAAAUUGAUAUUCAAUUUCACAGAUGAUGACUACUCAUCUUCAGUCCUUUCCAACCAUUUUGAGAACGAGUGGCUCCUUCUUUCUAGCCUCCCUCCACAUCCCCAAAUAAUAAAGUACUGGUGUCAAUUUGUUUCUGUCAUACCAAUGGAAUUUGUGGAGUGCUGUCCUCAAGAAGUUUGCAAGAGCUUUCCAAAAGACAAGCACUUUACUAGGAAAGGACAGUUCAUUGUUUUGGAUUAUCAUCCACAAACAUUGCAAGAGUUCUUAACAAAGGAAGAGAACAAACCGGUCGACUUUAAAAUAAUCCUAUCUAUUAGUUCACAGAUACUUUCUGCAGCCAGUUAUCUGGAGUCUAACAUGAUCUGUCAUUUGGAUUUAAAGCUUGCUAACUGUCUUGUCAGAGGAGAAGAAGAAGACAAUCCUCACAUUGUAUUGUGUGAUUUUGGUAGUGCAGUGCAGUUCUCAGACUCAACAAUGAGCACCCAAUGGUGUCAUGGUUUGAGUCUGGGUGGUAAUCGAGCUCACCUGUGCCCAGAAUUACUCUCACAGUAUUACAGCUAUAAAACAUCAACGUCACGCUUGCAACAGCCUUCAGCAGCACCCAUAUCACUGGCACAAAGGCUAUUAUGCUAUAAAGGACAGCCCUCAUUUGCAGUUGGUGUGCUGUUAUAUGAAGUGGGCUCAUGUGGAGAGCAUCCAUUACCUGAUUAUCCAUUGAACUACAUGAAAGAAGGAGUAGUGACUUACGGUGAAUCUGAUAUAGCUGAAUUACCUGGUGCCUAUUGUCACCAGCAGUAUUUUGAUUUAUUGAAAUCUCUAAUAGCUUGUGAUCCUAAACAAAGACCUAAUUUAGAGCAUACACUAGAUACAAUAUGCAAAAUAAAGGAGGACAUAGAAAACCAAGAAAUAACAGGUAAUUUAACAGGACAGGAAGAGCUUAAAAAGCAACUUAUAAGAGUAACAAUAGAAAGGGACAUUGCAAAGUCACAGUCUGCCACCCUGGAGUCUGAGAGAGACAGUGCACUGGAAAAGAUUAAAGCAAUGGCUAAUCAAUGUGAAACUGCAGCAACAGAGCUUGAACAACUUGCACAACAAUUUAAAUCAAUGAAAGAAGAGCUACUGGCGGUUAAGCUUGAGCGUGAUGCUGCAAUCCAAGCCAGUGAGGAAUUGUUUGAAGCUUAUGAGCUACUCCAAAAAGAACUGGAACUAGUAUCAAGAGAACGAGACCUUGCAAGAGAUCAGGUUAGCAAGAUGAGACAUUUGUGCUCUGCUGUGCAAACAAAUGAAGAAAUAAAAGAAUGUAUUAAUUGUCAGACAUUUUAUCAUGUUGAAGAAAACACAGAGGACUCAUGUCAAUGGCAUCCAGGAAAAUUUUUGGUAAGUCCAAUAAGGAAUUUGUUGUUCACUUAAUGUUUUAUUUUCAUUUUUUUCUUAACACAUCAUCACGGAUCCAAUAGUUUAAUCGUUGGAGCUGUUGCUAUAAGAGAGAUGAAAACAUUCCAGGCUGCAAGAAAUCAUUACAUUAUCAUAAUACAACAUAAAUAGAUA